rnacentral:rRNA from 1 species
UUAAGCGACUAAGCGUACACGGUGGAUGCCCUGGCAGUCAGAGGCGAUGAAGGACGUGCUAAUCUGCGAUAAGCGUCGGUAAGGUGAUAUGAACCGUUAUAACCGGCGAUUUCCGAAUGGGGAAACCCAGUGUGAUUCGUCACACUAUCAUUAACUGAAUCCAUAGGUUAAUGAGGCGAACCGGGGGAACUGAAACAUCUAAGUACCCCGAGGAAAAGAAAUCAACCGAGAUUCCCCCAGUAGCGGCGAGCGAACGGGGAGGAGCCCAGAGCCUGAAUCAGUGUGUGUGUUAGUGGAAGCGUCUGGAAAGGCGCGCGAUACAGGGUGACAGCCCCGUACACAAAAAUGCACAUGCUGUGAGCUCGAUGAGUAGGGCGGGACACGUGGUAUCCUGUCUGAAUAUGGGGGGACCAUCCUCCAAGGCUAAAUACUCCUGACUGACCGAUAGUGAACCAGUACCGUGAGGGAAAGGCGAAAAGAACCCCGGCGAGGGGAGUGAAAAAGAACCUGAAACCGUGUACGUACAAGCAGUGGGAGCACAGAGCAAUCUGUGUGACUGCGUACCUUUUGUAUAAUGGGUCAGCGACUUAUAUUCUGUAGCAAGGUUAACCGAAUAGGGGAGCCGAAGGGAAACCGAGUCUUAACUGGGCGUUAAGUUGCAGGGUAUAGACCCGAAACCCGGUGAUCUAGCCAUGGGCAGGUUGAAGGUUGGGUAACACUAACUGGAGGACCGAACCGACUAAUGUUGAAAAAUUAGCGGAUGACUUGUGGCUGGGGGUGAAAGGCCAAUCAAACCGGGAGAUAGCUGGUUCUCCCCGAAAGCUAUUUAGGUAGCGCCUCGUGAAUUCAUCUCCGGGGGUAGAGCACUGUUUCGGCAAGGGGGUCAUCCCGACUUACCAACCCGAUGCAAACUGCGAAUACCGGAGAAUGUUAUCAGGGGAGACACACGGCGGGUGCUAACGUCCGUCGUGAAGAGGGAAACAACCCAGACCGCCAGCUAAGGUCCCAAAGUCAUGGUUAAGUGGGAAACGAUGUGGGAAGGCCCAGACAGCCAGGAUGUUGGCUUAGAAGCAGCCAUCAUUUAAAGAAAGCGUAAUAGCUCACUGGUCGAGUCGGCCUGCGCGGAAGAUGUAACGGGGCUAAACCAUGCACCGAAGCUGCGGCAGCGACACUAUGUGUUGUUGGGUAGGGGAGCGUUCUGUAAGCCUGUGAAGGUGUACUGUGAGGUAUGCUGGAGGUAUCAGAAGUGCGAAUGCUGACAUAAGUAACGAUAAAGCGGGUGAAAAGCCCGCUCGCCGGAAGACCAAGGGUUCCUGUCCAACGUUAAUCGGGGCAGGGUGAGUCGACCCCUAAGGCGAGGCCGAAAGGCGUAGUCGAUGGGAAACAGGUUAAUAUUCCUGUACUUGGUGUUACUGCGAAGGGGGGACGGAGAAGGCUAUGUUGGCCGGGCGACGGUUGUCCCGGUUUAAGCGUGUAGGCUGGUUUUCCAGGCAAAUCCGGAAAAUCAAGGCUGAGGCGUGAUGACGAGGCACUACGGUGCUGAAGCAACAAAUGCCCUGCUUCCAGGAAAAGCCUCUAAGCAUCAGGUAACAUCAAAUCGUACCCCAAACCGACACAGGUGGUCAGGUAGAGAAUACCAAGGCGCUUGAGAGAACUCGGGUGAAGGAACUAGGCAAAAUGGUGCCGUAACUUCGGGAGAAGGCACGCUGAUAUGUAGGUGAAGUCCCUCGCGGAUGGAGCUGAAAUCAGUCGAAGAUACCAGCUGGCUGCAACUGUUUAUUAAAAACACAGCACUGUGCAAACACGAAAGUGGACGUAUACGGUGUGACGCCUGCCCGGUGCCGGAAGGUUAAUUGAUGGGGUUAGCGCAAGCGAAGCUCUUGAUCGAAGCCCCGGUAAACGGCGGCCGUAACUAUAACGGUCCUAAGGUAGCGAAAUUCCUUGUCGGGUAAGUUCCGACCUGCACGAAUGGCGUAAUGAUGGCCAGGCUGUCUCCACCCGAGACUCAGUGAAAUUGAACUCGCUGUGAAGAUGCAGUGUACCCGCGGCAAGACGGAAAGACCCCGUGAACCUUUACUAUAGCUUGACACUGAACAUUGAGCCUUGAUGUGUAGGAUAGGUGGGAGGCUUUGAAGUGUGGACGCCAGUCUGCAUGGAGCCGACCUUGAAAUACCACCCUUUAAUGUUUGAUGUUCUAACGUUGACCCGUAAUCCGGGUUGCGGACAGUGUCUGGUGGGUAGUUUGACUGGGGCGGUCUCCUCCUAAAGAGUAACGGAGGAGCACGAAGGUUGGCUAAUCCUGGUCGGACAUCAGGAGGUUAGUGCAAUGGCAUAAGCCAGCUUGACUGCGAGCGUGACGGCGCGAGCAGGUGCGAAAGCAGGUCAUAGUGAUCCGGUGGUUCUGAAUGGAAGGGCCAUCGCUCAACGGAUAAAAGGUACUCCGGGGAUAACAGGCUGAUACCGCCCAAGAGUUCAUAUCGACGGCGGUGUUUGGCACCUCGAUGUCGGCUCAUCACAUCCUGGGGCUGAAGUAGGUCCCAAGGGUAUGGCUGUUCGCCAUUUAAAGUGGUACGCGAGCUGGGUUUAGAACGUCGUGAGACAGUUCGGUCCCUAUCUGCCGUGGGCGCUGGAGAAUUGAGGGGGGCUGCUCCUAGUACGAGAGGACCGGAGUGGACGCAUCACUGGUGUUCGGGUUGUCAUGCCAAUGGCACUGCCCGGUAGCUAAAUGCGGAAGAGAUAAGUGCUGAAAGCAUCUAAGCACGAAACUUGCCCCGAGAUGAGUUCUCCCUGACUCCUUGAGAGUCCUGAAGGAACGUUGAAGACGACGACGUUGAUAGGCCGGGUGUGUAAGCGCAGCGAUGCGUUGAGCUAACCGGUACUAAUGAACCGUGAGGCUUAACCUU